GACGAACGCUGGCGGCGUGCCUAAUACAUGCAAGUUGAGCGCUGAAGGUUGGUACUUGUACCAACUGGAUGAGCAGCGAACGGGUGAGUAACGCGUGGGGAAUCUGCCUUUGAGCGGGGGACAACAUUUGGAAACGAAUGCUAAUACCGCAUAAAAACUUUAAACACAAGUUUUAAGUUUGAAAGAUGCAAUUGCAUCACUCAAAGAUGAUCCCGCGUUGUAUUAGCUAGUUGGUGAGGUAAAGGCUCACCAAGGCGAUGAUACGUAGCCGACCUGAGAGGGUGAUCGGCCACAUUGGGACUGAGACACGGCCCAAACUCCUACGGGAGGCAGCAGUAGGGAAUCUUCGGCAAUGGACGAAAGUCUGACCGAGCAACGCCGCGUGAGUGAAGAAGGUUUUCGGAUCGUAAAACUCUGUUGGUAGAGAAGAACGUUGGUGAGAGUGGAAAGCUCAUAAAGUGACGGUAACUACCCAGAAAGGGACGGCUAACUACGUG
rnacentral:rRNA from 1 species